AUUGAACGCUGGCGGCAUGCCUUACACAUGCAAGUCGAACGGUAACAGGUCUUCGGAUGCUGACGAGUGGCGAACGGGUGAGUAAUACAUCGGAACGUGCCCGAUCGUGGGGGAUAACGAGGCGAAAGCUUUGCUAAUACCGCAUACGAUCUACGGAUGAAAGCGGGGGAUCUUCGGACCUCGCGCGGACGGAGCGGCCGAUGGCAGAUUAGGUAGUUGGUGGGAUAAAAGCUUACCAAGCCGACGAUCUGUAGCUGGUCUGAGAGGAUGAUCAGCCACACUGGGACUGAGACACGGCCCAGACUCCUACGGGAGGCAGCAGUGGGGAAUUUUGGACAAUGGGCGAAAGCCUGAUCCAGCCAUGCCGCGUGCAGGAUGAAGGCCUUCGGGUUGUAAACUGCUUUUGUACGGAACGAAAAGCCUCUUUCUAAUAAGGAGGGGUCAUGACGGUACCGUAAGAAUAAGCACCGGCUAACUACGUG
rnacentral:rRNA from 1 species